rnacentral:lncRNA from 1 species
UCAAAAAUGAUUCAAUGAUCAUUUAUUAACAUGUUUGAAACAAAUAAGAUUUAAUCAACCUCAAGUCCAUCUAUGGAUGACUUGGAAUGUAGAAGUAUUGAUCAACCAAGUAAAUCAACUCAAGUCAAAAGCAAUCAAGUGUAUCAAAAUUCAAACAAAAAAAUAUGAAUAAAAAUGAUUUAAAAGAGAAAUUAAAGAGAAAACCCCAAACUAUGAUCAAAAUGAUUAAAAAAUGG